rfam:Triticum aestivum genome assembly, contig: Triticum_aestivum_CS42_TGACv1_scaffold_177852_2DS
CUCGUACUCCCUCCGUCCGGAAAUACUCGUUGAAGGAAUGGAUGUAUCUAGAUGUAUUUUAGUUCUAGAUACAUUCAUUUUUAUGCAUUUUUUCCGACAAGUAUUUCUGGACGGAGGGAGUACUAU